UGUGCAAUAAUGAACCAGCACGGAGAGGAGCAGCAAAGCGUCGUGGCCGCCUCCCACGCACGGGCGCUGCCGCAGGAGAGCGGCGGUGGCGAGGCGGGGAUGGCCCCGGUGACAAACCGCGUUCCUCCGCGCCGCGUCUCGCAGCCAUCCUGAAAGUGAGGGGCGGUGCUGGCGCGUCCCUUUCCUGUGCAUCGCAGGACAGGCUGCUUUGGGGCAGCAGGGCGCAACAGAACGAUUUUUUUUUUUUUUUUUUGCCUGGCUGGGAAAGUCCCUAAGGCGCUCCGGGGCUUUUCCCAGGCGGUGCCAGCACACAGACACGAGGCUGCGUCUCUCCCGCCCCCGGGGCGGUGGGAGCCAGGAUAGCAGCGAGCCAGGCAAGGGGAUCCUCUCAGGAACAUUGGAAGAUUAGAUCAGAGCUGGCAUCUCCUUGGUUAUUGGCCUAUGCGCCUAUAAGAAGCUGCCACAAAGUGCUGAAGGACAAAUAUGGGGAGUUUUCUCCUCCAGCAUUCCAUGCUGAUUUCCCUGUAAGCUUUUGGUGCAACUGGACAAUCUGGGCAGGCUCCAGGAAGCACAUCAUAAUUUAUAUCCGGGGAUUUAUCACUAAGGAUGCUUGCAACAAAAAUGAGGACAAAAUUCUGUUUGAAGGAGUCUCCUCCCUGGUGGAAAACAGUGUUGUUUAUGCCUGCUGGAAAAAGGAGAUGCAUGUUUUUGCCACCUUUGCUCAGGCUGUCCACGUUGUGCUGCUGAAGAGGUACUUGCCAAACCAGAGAGAUGCACAAUUUCAAGGGAAGUACUACAUCUUCCAAGACCAGCAAGGUGCCACUUCCUUCAAAGAUGAUGCAAUUUCUGGAACUUCUGCUUCAAAACUGCCAAAGAAAGGUGGUGGUUUUCAGUCUGGCAGGGUUGAAAACCUUAGAGGUGCACUGGGCUUUGCAACCACACACGACAGCACCACUGUGCUAAGCAGCGACCUGAUGCAGGAAAGAGGGAUCACUCUGGACACCACGGCUGUGGGAAGUCCUACAGAGCUUAUCCCAUGUGAACGUGCAAGGACACAGGCCCUGGAAACAAAAGCUCCUUGUGGGUUGGGGUCUGACCUGCUGGAGCCUCAGGAAGCUCAAGCCAUAGGAGCACCUCAGGGAAUAAUCCCCACUGCAGCUCAGGACAUCUGGGAGCAGAAUCCCUCUGUGAGUGAGGACAGUGCUGAGAGUUCUGCUCCUGUGCACAGUGUGCUUUUGGAAACUCCUUUGCUUGGUGCCUUCCAGGGAGCAGAACCUUUUUGGCAGCCAGCAGGGGUGAGUCUGGAGAGCAGCCAGCCUGUCCUGAGCCCUACCCUGAGGCCAAAAGAUCUGGGCCACCUGCAGACUGCCAUUAAACCAACAGGCACGGGUCACCUGGCCUUGGCUGCACGCUCUGAGCCUCUGUCCCCUGGCACAGGACAAAGCCAGGAGGGCACAGGUCCCACCAGGGACAGCCAGCUCAGCAUGGCCAGCCUGGAGAAGGAUGGAAGCUGUGCCCUGUUGAGUGUCCCAGCUGAUGGCCUCACCAAGGGCCUGAUGCCCAGCCUCAGGAUCCCCUCUGGUGUGGUCACCAGGGACAAUUUGCAGCUACUUUCGGAGAGAAGCCAAAGCAGUUUGGGGCAUUUGUCCAUGCCUAAACCUGAGCUAGGCACAACUGGCCCCCAUCAGACCAAGCUCAUGGAUAUUUUCUCACCGGGAAGUUUUGGGGGAGCUGUCAGGAGGAGAACAGUGCUGCAUCCCACAGCACCAGGGCUGGAGCAUCCUCUCACACCUGUGCCUGCCCUGGGGACAGAAACCAUCCCUGUCCUGGUGACCUCCUCCACAGUGCCUGUCCCUGAAGGCUUUGGCUCUCUGGAUUUAGUCCCUGAAGCACCUCUUCCUCCACAAGUGGAGUCUCUGUCCAUGGUGGCCUCUCCACCACCUGCUCUGGAUUGGGACCCUGUCAGUCUCAGGCAAAGGGACAUCUCCCCAGCUAGACCAGGAGGACAGGAGAUGGUCUCCCCUUCACCACCUUGCCAUCCAUCAGUAGCCUCUGAACUGGGCACGGAUGGGUCCUCCAGAUGCCUUGGCCCUGGGAAGCAAAAGUUAGUGCUGGGGCAGGGGGGUGAAACCACAGUCUCUGAGGGCUUGAUGGCCAGGAGUCCCUCCCCGGUCUUUGUCACUGUCCCAGGGCCUGGUGUGAGGCUUGCUCAGUCUGAGGGCCAUGUCAGCAGAGGCUCUGGGGUGACACCAGCUUCCCUGUCUGACACCAGAGAGGUGCACAAGGUGCCUGUGCAGCAUCAGGACAGUGCUGCUAGUGACAAACCAGCUUCUGUCUCCAGAUUCAGGGGGUUUAAAAUGCAGGGAACCACAGAGGCUGUGCAAGUGGGUACAGGACAGAGAACAGCUGCCUCCUUCAGCACCACUCCUGCACACUCAGAUCUGCCUGCAGCUCCAUGGGGAGAAACACUGCCAAGAGACCAAAAGCCUUGGGAGCCCUCUGGUGCACCCAGGAACACCCAGAUGCCAGAAGGACAGCAAGGGAAACACGCUGAUAUGUCAGAGCUGGGCCCUCCCUGGGUAACUGAGUACUUUCCCAUCAGGAGCUGCCACCUCGUCUUCCGGGAUGGGUCUGGCCUGUUUUACCUCCCGCUGCACACGGAUGGUAAACCAAACAUCUGGUGCAACUGGACCAUCUGGGCAGGCCCCCAGAAGCACAUUGUCAUCUAUGUCCAAGGGUUCCAGGGGAGUGAUGGCUGUGGCAACAACCAGGACAAGAUCAUCUUCCAGGGGGUCUCAUCAAGUGUGGAAACCAAAGUGGUAUUUGCCUGCCACAACCGAGGCACUCUGGUCUUUGCUGCACAAGCCACUGAGGUCCAGGUGUUGUUUCUAUCAGGGAGUGGUUCCAGAAGCCAUGAAUACAGGUAUUUUAGAGGACAGUAUUACGUAUUCAGAGACUCUGAAACUGUGGGCUUUUCAAGUGAUACCAUGGCAGCUCCCCAGGAGCCUGUCCAGGAGACCUCUAAAAAAGAGAGCUGGAGGACAGUGGUGACCAAAGGUUUAUUGUCCAUGCUGACAGCUCCUCCAGGCUCACCAGCAGCACCUGCUGGUGGUGGGAUCCAGCCUGACUUUGUGAGCCCAGAAGAAGUGGGCCAACAUUCUCCUGAUCUCAUGGAAGAUGAUCAGUCUGGUGCUAACCGGAGCGAGCACGGUCAGGAUGAAACCAGGCUGGAAAGGAACCUUGAGGACAGAGGCAGCAAGGGCAGGGAAACUGAAGAUGACACAUUGGUGGAGCCAGCUUCAGCUGGGCAACAUAAUGGGGGCAAAGCUGAGCCACCUGCCUUGGAGCUGUCUCCUGGGACAGCUCUGGUCACCAUGGUCCCAUGUCACCCAGUUGGUUCCCCUUGCUCAGAGAUGCCAAACAGCAGUGUAGGUGUCUCUGACACAUCACCUACCCUGGGUCAGGCCAGUGGCAGCCCCUCAGAAGUGCUAGCUGUUGCACAUCACACACAGACACCAGAGCUGGCAGAGCCACCAUUGAACACCAGCACAAAACCACCUCUCUACCCCUCUCCUGGUGUGACUGCUGCUGAUGGGGUGUCUCUGGGAGGAAGGACUGAAGAGCUCUUUGAUCUGAUGUCAUCGGUGGGGAAUGACACAGGACUGCAAUCCCAGCACCAUCCUGGAGAUGUGCUGUUUGAAGUCACUGUUGAAAUCAAACCCAAGGACUGGAUUCCUCACGGUGGAAGUGAGUUCCAAAAGGGUCUCCUUGAAUCUCUGAAGAAUCACAUCCAGAAGAACCUGAAGCUUUCUGCCAAUAGAGUCAGUGAAAUAAAGUUAAAGGAUGUCAAAAGGACAAGGGAUGCCAACCUGCUGCUCACCUUCUGGCUGCACCUGGAGCCAGAGGAGAGGAACGUGUCUCUGCUCCUGCACUCCCACCUGGAGGAGCUGCUUGGCACCUUGGUGGGUGUGGAGGAGCUGCAGCUUGUUUCACUCUUUGUUGAAGAUGUGAACGAGUGCCAGGCUGGGCUUGGCCUCUGUGGGGAGGAGGCAGAGUGCUUCAAUGGCGUGGGCACUUACCUGUGCCGCUGCAAGAAGGGCUACGAGGACCAUUCUCCCACCAAGUCAGGCACGCUCUGCAUCCGCACCCCCCGAGCAGAUGGAGCUCCUCAUGGAACCAGAAUCUAUAGAUGAAACCAGAAUCUUAAGUGGUGCUUAAGACUGGAGAAAGUCUAGAGGAAUUCUCACUAUAACAAUAUUGCUUAAAAGCCAGGAAUUCCUUUCCUGCAUGCUGAAUUUUUCCCAUUCAUAGUGGAGGACUGAUGAUCAUAUCCAGCUUGCAGGCUUGUCCUCUCUCUCCCUGAAAUGUUUUAUUACAGAACUCAAUUAAGAGCAAAUCUCCCCUCAAACUCUGUCUUACAAGGUCAUGUCUGCCUUUAUGAAAUAUUGAAUCUGCAGCUGCAGGAUUUAUUACAACAGUAUUUUAAAAGACGUGAUGCUGGUGCAGCAGCUCUAAUUAGAAAUGCCCUGAGGUCACUGUGCAGGCCAAGUGUUGUUUCCAAACUGCAGCAUCCACAUCAAGAGGCAAGUUUAUACAUGUUGGACGGACAGACAGAGAUACCUGUGGGAAAAACUGGAGUCUGCUGAGAAGUGCUGCUAUGCUGUGAUUUCUUACUCCUUUAAUUUGAAUUAGGUCAGUUUGAGCCAGACUUUGCCUCGGUAGCAUUACUGAGUUGCUGCAGUUUAGUGGAGAGGGAAGACCCGGGCUAAAACCUUCAGCUUUGUGCUACAGUGUGACCAAUUACAUACUUUGCCACCUGGCCAGUAAGAAGUAAUCAAAGCGGAAUGUGGACUGAUGCUGGAUGUUUAUCACAGUAAGGUUCCCCUUGUGAGGAAGUCCAGCAGGCAGACACAGGAAAAGGUUCAGGAGAUGAAUACACCCGAGGAGUUCUGUUCUACACGACAAAUUGCCCACCGCUGUACCAGGCAGCCUGUGUUGAUCACGCCUGAAGAAUAUCUCCUUUCCUUGAAUAUGAAACAUGGCAACCCACUGUAGGAGGGCUCAGGAUUGACGCUGCUGUCCUGCAGGGAUAAUGAGGAAUUUACCAAAGCAGAGCAACAGAUGCCUUGAGAGAUGAAUGCGACUCCUGUCCUUGACCUCCUCUGCAGAUAAAUACGUGUCCUUUACUGCUGAGUGGUUUGAGAAGAAUGUCAGCCAGACAAGAGAGGGGAGAUAGAGGAAAGACAGACACUUUAACAUCGAACUGCGCACAACAUCCAGCCUCCGCCGCCCGGGUGCCGUUCCCUGAGCACGCAGGUUAAAUCAGCAAAGGAACGUCGUCCUGCCUGCGGUAUUUAAUUCCCACCAGUUUCCCAACCGCACCCGAACUCCGGAGCCCCUACAGGACCGGGGCCUGUGCUGCAGGACUUGGGGCAGGCCUGGCGUUUGACCGCCCCCUCCUCAAGGCGGGCCCAGCGCAGGGACUGUCCCUCGCCGCCGUUCCUCCUCCCCUCCCGCCGACUCGAUCCGCGGCCGCUCGCUCCCUUCAGCAUCCCCACGCCCGCCUCACGGGAGGCAUCACUGGCUCCCUCCCCGGCUCCCUCCGUCCCUGCCCUUCCCUUCCCUUCCCGCCGCUCCCCGGCCCUGGGGCGGUGGCGAGUCCCGGGGGCGGCGGUGGAGCCACGCCCCGCCCCCCCGCGGCUUUAGGAAGCGCCGCCGCCAGUCGCCGGCGG